UACGUAGGCAGCGAGCGUUGUUCGGAGUUACUGGGCGUAAAGGGUGUGUAGGCGGUCCCUUAAGUUUGGUGUGAAAUCUCCCGGCUCAACUGGGAGGGUGCGCCGGAUACUGAGGGGCUAGAGUGCGGGAAGGGAAAGUGGAAUUCCUGGUGUAGCGGUGAAAUGCGUAGAUAUCAGGAGGAACACCGGUGGUGCAAACGGCUUUCAGGACCGUAACUGACGCUGAGACACGAAAGCGUGGGGAGCAAACAGG
rnacentral:rRNA from 1 species